rnacentral:rRNA from 1 species
AAUAGAUACCCGGGUAGUCCACGCCGUAAACGAUGAGUGCUAGGUGUCGGGGGGGUCCACCCCUCGGUGCCGAAGUUAACACAUUAAGCACUCCGCCUGGGGAGUACGGUCGCAAGACUGAAACUCAAAGGAAUUGACGGGGACCCGCACAAGCAGUGGAGUAUGUGGUUUAAUUCGAAGCAACGCGAAGAACCUUACCAGGUCUUGACAUCCCUCUGAACACGUUAGAGAUAGCGUAGGCCUUCGGGACAGAGGAGACAGGUGGUGCAUGGUUGUCGUCAGCUCGUGUCGUGAGAUGUUGGGUUAAGUCCCGCAACGAGCGCAACCCUUGGGUUUAGUUGCCAGCACGUUAUGGUGGGCACUCUAGGCUGACUGCCGGUGACAAACCGGAGGAAGGCGGGGAUGACGUCAAAUCAUCAUGCCCCUUAUGACCUGGGCUACACACGUACUACAAUGGCCGGUACAACGGGCAGCGAAAGGGCGACCUGGAGCGAAUCCGUACCAAAGCCGGUCUCAGUUCGGAUUGCAGGCUGCAACUCG